rnacentral:rRNA from 1 species
AUUGAACGCUGGCGGCAGGCCUAAAACAUGCAAGUCGAACGAGUGGCGGACGGGUGAGUAAUGUCUGGGAAACUGCCUGAUGGAGGGGGAUAACUACUGGAAAAGGUAGCUAAUACCGCAUACCAUCGGAUGUGCCCAGAUGGGAUUAGCUAGUAGGUGGGGUAAAGGCUAACCUAGGCGACGAUCCCUAGCUGGUCUGAGAGGAUGACCAGCCCCACUGGCACUGUGCCACGGUCCAGCCUCCUACGUGAGGCAGCAGUGGGGAAUAUUGCCCAAUGGGCGCAAGCCUGAUGCAGCCAUGCCGCGUGUAUUAAGAAGGCCUUCGGGUUGUAAAGUACUUUCAGCGGGGAGGCGUUACCCGCAGAAGAAGCACCGGCUAACUCCGUGCCAGCAGCCGCGGUAAUUC